GACGAACGCUGGCGGCGUGCUUAACACAUGCAAGUCGAACGGAAAGGCCCUGCUUUUGUGGGGUGCUCGAGUGGCGAACGGGUGAGUAACACGUGAGUAACCUGCCCUUGACUUUGGGAUAACUUCAGGAAACUGGUGCUAAUACCGGAUAGGAGCUCCUGCUGCAUGGUGGGGGUUGGAUAGUUUCGGCGGUUGGGGAUGGACUCGCGGCUUAUCAGCUUGUUGGUGGGGUAGUGGCUUACCAAGGCUUUGACGGGUAGCCGGCCUGAGAGGGUGACCGGCCACAUUGGGACUGAGAUACGGCCCAGACUCCUACGGGAGGCAGCAGUGGGGAAUAUUGCACAAUGGGCGGAAGCCUGAUGCAGCAACGCCGCGUGCGGGAUGACGGCCUUCGGGUUGUAAACCGCUUUCGCCUGUGACGAAGCGUGAGUGACGGUAAUGGGUAAAGAAGCACCGGCUAACUACGUG
rnacentral:rRNA from 1 species